rnacentral:misc_RNA from 1 species
AAGUCGUAACAAGGUUUCCGUAGGUGAACCUGCGGAAGGAUCAUUAACACGUAUCCAACGUUAAACCCCCCUGUGAACCUUUAGUGUGCUCCCUCAUUCUGUUGGAACGUGGCAAUCCCUGGUAAAUCAUCGCCGAACAGUUUUGAUUCUGGGACUUCCUCAAAGAGUGUGCAUGUUGCGCGAGGCAAGCGGCCUGGCAUCCUAGCAAUCUGUCAGUGGUUGCGCAAGGAUGGCGCAGUAAACGAUUGCUGGAGGCCCACACGGCCGGCGACCGGGCCUCUGUGCCUUGUGCACCUAAUGACCCCAAUGUUUCUGACCCGGUGCGCUGUAACAACCGCACCACAAACUCGAACAACUGUUAACAAUGGAUAUCUUGGUUCUC